GUUCAGGAAGAUCUGUGAAGGCCCCAGUCCUAAAAUGUUAUGUGUCUUUGAUUAGGUGUGUUUAUAGAGGGGUUCAGGAAGAUCUGUGAAGGCCCCAGUCCAAACAAUAAGCUGAAGCAAAAUUGUGCCGCGAAGCUCAAGAGGGUGCAGCAAUUUUUGAAGUUCAUGGCGAAGGAUGAGAAAUAUCCAUCCACUCUCAGUUUCCUGACAGACCAGGACAACAUGAGGAGGUGAGCAGAGAUCUGUAUUUCUCUUUAGUCUCAUCAGCGUUCAUUAACAACACACUAAUGGAUGUUGUGGUGUCUGUGUGGUGUGUGUGUGUGUGUGUCUGUGUGGUGUGUGUGUGUUUUAGAUGGUUUCAGACCCUUCAGCAGAACAAGGCCGUCGCCACGGUCAACAUCUACACCUCGACUAUCGGUGCAUUUCUCCAAUACUCCGAGGAGACCCCUCCGCCUGGCUGCCGGCUGACCAAAAACCACUGGAAGGAGAUCAACCGGGCAAUGAAGGAGAUCAACAAGUCCGUGAAAGGAGCCGUCUCCAACAAGGAAGGCAAGGGGGUGUCUACAAAGAGCCUGCUGGAGUGCCAGUCUCUUGCCAAGGUCAAGAUCCCCCAAGUGCUGAGUAAGUUUUUCCUCAAUCUGGGAUGUCACUGUUAUUCCACUCUUCUAGACGUCAGAGAUGUCUACAGGACAUUAUGGAAGCUGUCUGUUAUUAUAGAUGUUCACAGGACAUUAUGGAAGUUGUCUGUUAUUAUUAUAGAUGUCAGAGAUGUUCACGGGACAUUAUGGAAGUUGUCUGUUAUUAUUAUAGAUGUUCACAGGACAUUAUGGAAGUUGUCUGUUAUUAUUAUAGAUGUUCACAGGAUAUUAUGGAAGCU
rnacentral:lncRNA from 1 species